CUAGUACUCCCUCCGUCCAACAAAAGAUGUCUCAAGUUUGUCAAAAUUUGGAUGUAUCUAGACAUGACUUAGUGUAUAGAUGCAUUCAAAUUUAGUCAAAGUUGAGACAUCUUUUGUUGGACGGAGGAAUAUUAA
rnacentral:pre_miRNA from 1 species